AUUGAACGCUGGCGGCAGGCUUAACACAUGCAAGUCGAGCGGGGUGAUGGUGCUUGCACUAUCACUUAGCGGCGGACGGGUGAGUAAUGCUUAGGAAUCUGCCUAUUAGUGGGGGACAACAUCUCGAAAGGGAUGCUAAUACCGCAUACGUCCUACGGGAGAAAGCAGGGGAUCACUUGUGACCUUGCGCUAAUAGAUGAGCCUAAGUCGGAUUAGCUAGUUGGUGGGGUAAAGGCCUACCAAGGCGACGAUCUGUAGCGGGUCUGAGAGGAUGCUCCGCCACACUGGGACUGAGACACGGCCCAGACUCCUACGGGGGGCAGCAGUGGGGAAUAUUGGACAAUGGGCGGAAGCCUGAUCCAGCCAUGCCGCGUGUGUGAAGAAGGCCUUUUGGUUGUAAAGCACUUUAAGCGAGGAGGAGGCUACUUAGAUUAAUACUCUGGGAUAGUGGACGUUACUCGCAGAAUAAGCACCGGCUAACUCUGUGCCAGCCGCCGCCGUAA
rnacentral:rRNA from 1 species